rnacentral:snRNA from 1 species
UUAAGUAUCAGUUUGUGUUUAU